rnacentral:snRNA from 1 species
GUGCUCCUUUUCGGCAGCACAUAUAAUAAAAUUGGAAUGGUGCAGAGAAGAUUGGCAUGGCUCCUGAGCAAGGAUGACACGCAAAUUUGUGAAGUGUUCCAUAGUUUG